rnacentral:rRNA from 1 species
GAUGAACGCUAGCGGGAGGCUUAAUACAUGCAAGUUGAGCGGUAACCGGCCUAUAGCAAUAUAAGUUGGCUAGAGCGGCGCACGGGUGAGUAACGCGUACAUAACCUACCCUAUACAGGGGGAUAGCCUUGGGAAACUGAGAUUAAUACCCCAUAGCAUUGCGGAGUCGUCUGACUCUGCAAUUAAAGUUGCGGCGGUAUAGGAUGGGUGUGCGUCUGAUUAGCUAGUUGGUAGGGUAACGGCCUACCAAGGCGAUGAUCUUUAGGGGGCCUGGGAGGGUGAUCCCCCCCACUGGUACUGAGACACGGACCAGACUCCUACGGGAGGCAGCAGUGAGGAAUAUUGGUCAAUGGGUGCAAGCCUGAACCAGCCAUCCCGCGUGAAGGAUUAAGGUCCUAUGGAUUGUAAACUUCUUUUGUAUAGGGAUAAACCUACCCUCGUGAGGGUAGCUGAAGGUACUAUACGAAUAAGCACCGGCUAACUCCGUGCCAGCAGCCGCCGUAAUAC